AUCCCUGCAAGAGCAAAGAAGAAAAACACGCUUUGAGAAGAUCCAGACCAUAAGCAGAUCACCAAGAGAGACAUAGCUUUCUAAUGAGACCGAGAAGUAUUUCCAAGAGGCAGGAUUGGAGUGGACAACUUGCAAGAAAGGCUAAACAUGUCGGAAGAUCACUGCCAGAUUGUUGCUUUUGAAGAUCCCGAGCUGUUUGUGGUGUUUCAUUUUGAACCCUUCCUUUGAUUGACGGCCGCUUCGCACCUGGAGCUCAUCGGCUUCGAUAUAUCCGCUGCGAUCCGUGUCAUAUUUCCUCCAAGCCUGUAAGAGAGACAGCAGAGAUUUGUUACAAGAACUGUACAUAGAUAUAUACAGUAGAGUCUCACUUAUCCAAGCUAAACAAGCCGGCAGAACCUUGGAUAAGUGAAUAUCUAGGAUAAUAAGGAGGGGUUAAGGAAAAGCCUUACAAAUUAAGCACUAAAGCAUCAUGUUAUACAACAAAUUUGACAGAAAAAGUAGUUCAAUACACAGUAAUGUUAUGUUGUAAUUACUGUAUUUACAAAUUUAGCACCAAAAUAUCAUGAUUUAUUGAAAACAUUGACUACAAAAAUUUCUUGGAUAAUCCAGAACCUUGGAUAAAUGAGGCUUGGGUAAGUGAGCUAUCUAUAUAUAUAAAAGGGUAAUGAAAUUUCGGCCUAGGACAAAACAACAAAACUACACAUCCCAGAAACACUAAACUUGGCAGCACAACCCCUCAUCCAUGCCUCUACGUUCAUACAACAUAAAGAGAAGAAAAAUAAAGCCCUAAUUAGAGGGAGAUGAAUGAUUGUUUUUAUCCAAUUGCUGCCAAUUAGAAGGCUAAGCUCCGCCCACUUGGUCUCCUAGCAACCCACUCAGCCCAGGGGACAGGCAGAGUUAGGCCUCACUUAGGCCUCUUCCACACUGCCUAUAAAAUACAGAUUAUCUGAUUUUAACUGGAUUAUAUGGCAGUGUAGACUCAAGGCCCUUCCACACAGCUAUAAUACUAAUAAUACAAUAUAAUAAUAUUAAUUAUAUAUCAUAUUUUACAUGUAAUAUUACUAAUAAUAUUACAAUAUAUUGAUACAGUACAAUAUAGUAAUUUAUUACCAGUAUUGUACUAUACUAAUAUAUUAUUGUAUGUAAAUUUAAUUUGUAAGCCGCUCUGAGUCCCCUUUGGGGUGAGAAGGGCGGCAUAUAAAUGUAGCAAAUGAAUAAAUAAAUAAAUAUAUAAUCUUAUAUUAUCUGCUUUGAACUGGAUUAUCUUGACUCCACACAGCCAUGUAAUCCACUUCAUUGUGCAUUUUAUACAUCUGUGUAGAAGGGGCCCCAUAUUUCGCCACAGCAAUGUGUGGCCGGGCACAGCUAGUUGUAUAUAUAAAGAGAGGGAAACAGAAAGAGAUAAGCGUAUCGAUAGAUAGAGGGGAAGAUUGGUUUUUUUGCUUUGUUUGUACUAUUUAGGAGAUUUAUAGCCGCUUUGAGUCUCCUUCGGGAAAGAUAAAGCAAGGUAGCAGCUAAAUAUAAAAGAACACAGAGAUUAUGGCAACCAGAGAGAUUGAUAACUGGCAAAUAGAGGGAGAAAACGUGGAGGCAGUGACAGACUUUGUAUUUCUAGGUGUGAAGAUUCCUACAGCUACGAAAUCAGAAGUUUCCUUCUUGGGAGGAGAGCAAGGAUCAGCCUCAAUGAUAAAAGAAUGAAGAGUAGAGACAUCACACUGGCAACGAAGGUUUGCAUAGUUAAAGCAAUGGUAUUCCCCAUAGUAGUCUAUGGAUGCGAGAGCUGGACUAUAAGGAAGGCUGAGCGAAGGAAGAGAGACGCUUUUGAACUCUGGUGUUGGAAGAAAAUUCCGAGAGUGCCUUGGACCACAAGAAGAUCCAACCAGUCCAUCCUCCAGGAAAUAAUGCCCAAUGGCUGCUCACUGGAGGGAAGGAGAUUAGAGGCAGAGUUGAAGUACUUUGGCCACAUCAUGAGGAGACAGGAAAGGUUGGAGAAGACAAUGAUGCUGGGACAAUGGAAGGAAAAAGGAAGAGAGGCCGACCAAGAGCGAGAUGGAUGGAUGGUAUCCUUGAAGUGACUGGCUUGACCUUGAAGGAGCUGCAGGUGGCCAUCGACAGGGAGCUCUGGCCUGGACUGGUCCACGAGGUCACGAAGAAUCGGAAGUGAUUGAACGAAUAAAAAAUAAACAUAGUAACAACAACAACAACAACAACAACAACAAGCCUUCAAAUAGCUAAGAUAUAACAAAGUUAUUAUCCCUCCCUCCCUCCAUCUCUCCAUUCAUUCAUAAGAAGAAGAAGAAGAAUCCAUACCUUCCUUCCUCCCUCCCUCCAUCUCUCUCUCCCUCCAUCUCUCAAUAAUAAUAAUAAUCAUCAUCAUCAUCAUCAUCAUCAUCAUCAUCAUCUUUCCAUCCAUUUAUCUAUCCAUCUAGCCAGCCAGACAGCCAGAUAGCCAUCUAUCCCUCCUUCCAUCCGUCCCUCCUUCCAUUCCUCCAUCUGUCCAUCCAUCCAUCUGUCCAGCCAACCAUCCAUUCUUCAAUAAUAAUAAUAAGAACAACAACAACUACAACCCACCUGUCCAUCUAUCCAUCCAUCUAUUGAUCUCUCCAUCCAUCCGUCCAUCCUUCCUUCCAGGCAUCCUUCCAUCUGUCCACCCAUCCAUUUAUCAUCAUCAUCAUCAAUAAUAAUAAUAAUAAUAAUAAUAAUAAUAACAACCUACCUAUCUAUCCAUUCAUCUCUCCAUCCUUCUGUCCAUCCAUCCCUCCUUCCAUCCAUCCAUCCUUCCAUCCAUCAAUAAUAAUAAUAAUAGCCCAUCUCCCCAUCCAUCCAUCCAUCCAUCCAUCCAUCUCUUCAUCCAUCUCCCCAUCCAUCCAUUAUUACUAUCAAUUAUCAUCAUUAUCAUCAUCAUCCAUCUGUCCAUCUACUCAUCCACCUCUCCAUCCACCCACCUCUCCAUAAUAAUAAUAUUCCCUUUAGCCAUCCAUCCAUCCAAUAAUAAUAAUAACAACAACAACCCACCUAUCUAUCCAUCCAUUCAUCUCUCCAUCCAUCCCUCCUUCCAGCCAUCCAUGCAUCCUUCCAUCCAUCAAUAAUAAUAAUAAUAGCCCAUCUCCCCAUCCAUCCAUCCAUCUCAUCUCUUCAUCCAUCUCCCCAUCCAUCCGUUAUUACUAUCAAUCAUCAUCUUUAUCAUCAUCAUCAUCCAUCUGUCCAUCUACUCAUCCACCUCUCCAUCCACCCACCUCUCCAUAAUAAUAAUAACAUUCCCUUUAGCCAUCUAUCCAUCCAUCCAUCCAUCCAUGGUGCUUCCUUCCCAUCCCUCUGCCCUCUUUUCCACCUCAAGACCUUUCUCCACGUAGGUGGGCAUUUCUAUGCAGUGAUCAUACCCACAAGUGGACGCCCAUCAUAUUGCUUUUGAGCUGAUUAAUAUGGCUGCUCUUUUCUCAAAAGGGACUUCAGAGGAGAAAGAGAAGGGAAUGAAAAGCAGCCCUAGCCUAGAAGUCCACAAAGGAGCAUCCGCUCUGUUAAAAAGCCAUCCCGGAGGUAUCGUGUGUGCAGUGAGUUUCCAAAUUUCCAGUGGGCUUGCAUUGUUUUGUGGUGGAGAAGGUCAGGCCAGUGGAAAACAGUGACCUGGGGCUUCGCCAUAAUGAUGGUGGGAAUGAAUAUUUCAGGGGCAAGGCAUUGUUUGAGUGGGGCCGGCAUUAAUAUUUAAGGGCCUGUGCCCACUUUCUCGGCCCAUUAGCUGGCUCCAGUUUCAUCCAAGCGCAGGAUUAACUUUCCCAUUGUUUUGCUCUAAUGGCUCCGACAACGGGCGGCUGCUUCCCAACUGUUGGGGAGAGAAGGGCGUCUCAAAAUGGACAGAUUGACAGAUGGACAGUGACCCAAGGCUGGCAUGAAAUUCUGCAUGGUUCUUAUGGCGGCAAGGUGGCAAAUGCAAGGCAAGAACUGAGGGGAAGGGGCUUCUUUUCCAGUUGUUUCUUGUCAAUUCUGCUGUCACCUGGGAUUGCAACAUCGACGAUCCAUACUUGGUUUUCCCCCUCCUUCCUCACGGUCUCCUUACCUCCAUGAAUUCAGCGCUGGAGCCCACGUGCUGCCGGAAACACAGGAGGAAGUUCUCCUCCGUGGGCAGGAUCUGUGCCAACUGCAGGGAGAGGAAAGAGGGGAGAAGAGGUCCAAGACUGGCACAAAAGCCUCCGCUGGAAGGAUACGCUCCUGCUCUCCUCUCCUUCCCACCCCUUGGCUUUGCUUCUUGCCAAAACCAGGAGGAACACAUCUCCUGUUUUGUCUGGAUGCUCUGAGAAUUGCCCAUCCAUCCAUCGCUCGGCUGGCAUCUGAGCCCUCAACUGCCACAGGGAGAGGAGAAAAGAGGAGAGGAGAGGAGGGUGUCCCCAGAACAGCCUUCUGCCCAUCUGAACCCAGGCUGACCCCGACACUCCUUCCUUCCUUCCUUCCUUCCUUCCUUCCUUCCUUCCUUCCUUCCUUCCUUCCUUCCUUCCUUCCACCCUUCCUUCCUUCCUUCCACCCUUCCUUCAGUCCUUCUUCUUUCAGUUCUUCCUUCCUUUAGUCAUUCCUUCCUUCUUUAGUCACCCCUUCCCUUCCUUCCCUCCUUCCCCUCUUCCUUCAAUCUAUGCUUGCUUUAUUUUUUCCUUCCUUCCUUCUCUCCUUCCUUCCUUCCUUCUUCCUUCUCUCCUUUCCUUCCUUCUCUCCUUUCCUUCUUUCUCUCCUUCCUUCCUUCCUUCCUUCCUUCCUUCCUUCCUUCCUUCCUUCCUUCCUUCCUUCCUUCCUUCCCUCUGUCAUAAUCAUGUCAUUCAACUAUGAUAUCCCCAGGACCAUUACACCCACUUCCCUCUUACCCUUCUUUCUUUUCUUUUCUCCCACCUACCUACCUACCUUCCUUCCUUCCUGCCUUCCUUCCUUCCUUCCUUAAACCCUUCCUUCAAUCCACCCUUCCUUCAAUCCACCCUUUCUUCACUUUCCCUUUAUUUUCCUUCCUUCCUUCCUUCCUUCUUUCCCUCUGUCAUAAUUACGUCAUUCAACUAUGACAUCCCUGAGACUAUGACACCCGCCUUCCUUCCUUCCUUCCUUAAACCCUUCCUUCAAUCCACCCUUUCUUCACUUUCCCUUUAUUUUCCUUCCUUCCUUCCUUCCUUCUUUCCCUCUGUCAUAAUCAUGUCAUUCAACUAUGACAUCCCUGAGACUAUGACACCCGCCUUCCUUCCUUCCUUCCUUAAACCCUUCCUUCAAUCCACCCUUUCUUCACUUUCCCUUUAUUUUCCUUCCUUCCUUCCUUCCUUCUUUCCCUCUGUCAUAAUCAUGUCAUUCAACUAUGACAUCCCUGAGACUAUGACACCCGCCUUCCUUCCUUCCGUCCUUCCUUCCUUCCGUCCUUCCUUCCUUCCGUCCUUCCUUCCUUCCUUCCUUCCUUCCUUCCUUCCUUCCUUCCUUCCUUCCUUCCUUCCUUAAACCCUUCCUUCAAUCCACCCUUUCUUCACUUUCCCUUUAUUUUCCUUCCUUCCUUCCUUCCUUCUUUCCCUCUGUCAUAAUCAUGUCAUUCAACUAUGACAUCCCUGAGACUAUGACACCCGCCUUCCUUCCUUCCUUCCUUAAACCCUUCCUUCAAUCCACCCUUUCUUCACUUUCCCUUUAUUUUCCUUCCUUCCUUCCUUCCUUCCUUCUCUCCUCCCUCCCUCCCUCCCUCCCUCUGUCAUAAUCAUGUCAUUCAACUAUGACAUCCCUGAGACUAUGACACCCGCCUUCCUUCCUUCCUUCCGUCCUUCCUUCCUUCCUUCCGUCCUUCCUUCCUUCCGUCCUUCCGUCCUUCCUUCCUUCCUUCCUUCCUUCCUUCCUUCCUUCCUUCCUUCCUUCCUUCCUUCCUUCCUUCCUUAAACCCUUCCUUCAAUCCACCCUUUCUUCACUUUCCCUUUAUUUUCCUUCCUUCCUUCCUUCCUUCUUUCCCUCUGUCAUAAUUACGUCAUUCAACUAUGACAUCCCUGAGACUAUGACACCCGCCUUCCUUCCUUCCUUCCUUAAACCCUUCCUUCAAUCCACCCUUUCUUCACUUUCCCUUUAUUUUCCUUCCUUCCUUCCUUCCUUCUUUCCCUCUGUCAUAAUCAUGUCAUUCAACUAUGACAUCCCUGAGACUAUGACACCCGCCUUCCUUCCUUCCUUCCUUAAACCCUUCCUUCAAUCCACCCUUUCUUCACUUUCCCUUUAUUUUCCUUCCUUCCUUCCUUCCUUCUUUCCCUCUGUCAUAAUCAUGUCAUUCAACUAUGACAUCCCUGAGACUAUGACACCCGCCUUCCUUCCUUCCGUCCUUCCUUCCUUCCGUCCUUCCUUCCUUCCGUCCUUCCUUCCUUCCUUCCUUCCUUCCUUCCUUCCUUCCUUCCUUCCUUCCUUCCUUAAACCCUUCCUUCAAUCCACCCUUUCUUCACUUUCCCUUUAUUUUCCUUCCUUCCUUCCUUCCUUCUUUCCCUCUGUCAUAAUCAUGUCAUUCAACUAUGACAUCCCUGAGACUAUGACACCCGCCUUCCUUCCUUCCUUCAACCCUUCCUUCAAUCCACCCUUUCUUCACUUUCCCUUUAUUUUCCUUCCUUCCUUCCUUCCUUCUCUCCUCCCUCCCUCCCUCCCUCCCUCUGUCAUAAUCAUGUCAUUCAACUAUGACAUCCCUGAGACUAUGACACCCGCCUUCCUUCCGUCCUUCCUUCCUUCCGUCCUUCCUUCCGUCCUUCCUUCCUUCCUUCCUUCCUUCCUUCCUGCCUUCCUUCCUUAAACCCUUCCUUCAAUCCACCCUUUCUUCACUUUCCCUUUUCCUUCCUUCCUUCCUUCCUUCCUUCCUUCCUUCCUUCCUUCCUUAAACCCUUCCUUCAAUCCACCCUUUCUUCACUUUCCCUUUAUUUUCCUUCCUUCCUUCCUUCCUUCCUUCCUUCCUUCCUUCCUUCCUUCCUUCCUUCCUUCCUUCCUUCCUUCCUUCCUUCGCUCCUGAUCCAGGCCCUAUACCAGGCGUGGGUAAACUUUGGCCCUCCAGGUGUUUUGGACUUCAACUCUAGUAGGAAUUGUGGGAGUCGAAGUCCAAAACACCUGGAGGGAGGGCUGAGGUUGGCCCAGGCCUGCCCUAGACCUAUCUGCCCGUCUUCUCCAAAUGUUGCAAGGGAUGCCAACAUGCCCCCCAGAUCCAAGGCGCUCACCUCCGACAUCUCAAUCCUCCCGUCUGCAUUUUUGUCGUACUUCCGCAUGAACUCCUGCAUCUUCUCCGCAAAGUUGGUAUUUUUGGACUCCUGUCAAAAAAAAGAGAGAGAAAAGGUCAACUGUGCACGCAAUACACCUCUUCCAUCCUUGAUGGGCAAAGCUGAAGCUGUUCAGGGUCUUUGAGGUCUACCCUGCACCAAACUGCCCCAGUCCUUUUAUUUUUAAAGGACCAAAGUCAUCUCUGCCUCUCUUUCUUGGUCUUUGCAAAUCCUGAUGUGCCAUCAAGAGAUGGAAAACAACAGCUAUCAAUGACAGACAAGAGUCCCAUCUUUCCAAGGAAAACAAGGGAGUGGAUUUGUUUGUAAUGUUUUGAUGGAAGCAAAGAAAAACCAAGCACAACCCAAACCUAAAUUGAUGAUUUCUGACACAGAUUUCUGAUCCAGCUGUAGCCAGAUGGCAUUUGGAGAAAGCCAUAUUAAUCAGAUCAAAAGAAAUAUGAUGGGCAUUCGCUUGUGGGUAUGUUUACUGCAUAGAAAUGCCCACCUGGGUGGAAAGGAGGGCAGAGGGGUGGGAAGGAAGCACAAGUCUUGGAUGGAUAGAUGGAUAGGUAGAUUGUCGUUGUUAUGAAGAGAUGGAUGAAUGGACAGGUGGAUUAUUAUUAUUAUUAUUAUUAUUAUUAUUAUUAUUAUUAUUAUUGGUGAAAGAAUGGAUGGACAGAUGAAUGGAUGGAUGGAUGAAUAGAUGGAGAGAUAGAUGGACAGAUGGAUAAUAAUAAUAAUAAUAUAAUAAUAAUAAUAAUAAUAAUAAUAAUAAUAAUAAUGGACAGAUGGACGGACGGACAAACGAAUGGAUGGAGAAAUGGAUGGAUAGAUGGACAGAUGGAUGAUGAUGAUGAUGAUGAUGAUGACUAUUAUUAUUAUUGAUGAAUGGAUGGAUGGCUAGAUGAAUGGAUGGACAGAUGGAUGAAGAGAUAGAUGGAUAAAUGGAGGACAACAAAGACAACAACAACAGCAGCAACAACAAUAAUGGAUAAACAGAUGGAUGGAUGAAUAGAUGGAGAGAUGGACGGGCUGUGGCGCAGCUGGCUAGUAACCAGCUGCUAUAAAUCACUACUGACCGAGAGGUCAUGAGUUCGAAGACCAGGUCGGGUUAAGCCUCCGACCAUUAAAAAAAAAAUAGCCCCGGCUUGCUGUUGACCUAGCAGCCCUGAAAGACAGUUGCAUCUGUCAAGUAGGGAAAAUUUAGGUACGCUUUAUGCGGGAGGCUAAUUUAACUAAUCUACAACACCAUAAAACUGCUCAUGAGGAAAAGAAGAGGAAGUACAGCCACUACUGGACGGUGAAGCAACAGCUCCCCCUGUGGCCGGAAUCGUGAAGCUGGAAAGAUGUUAAAAAUGCCUCUGUGUCUGUCUAAAACUGAAUGUUGUUUGUCUAUUGGCAUUGAAUGUUUGCCAUAUAUGUGUUCAUUGUAAUCCGCCCUGAGUCCCCUUUGGGGUGAGAAGGGCGGAAUAUAAAUACUGUAAAUAAAUAAAUAAAUAAAUAAAUAAAUAAAUAAAAAUAAUGGAUAGAUGGA